rnacentral:lncRNA from 1 species
CAUAGAAUGCCCAUUAUAGAACUAUAGUUUGUCUAUAGUUCCAAUGGAAUGGAACAGAGGGUCAGUAAGGCAGGGAGAGGACCAACACAAUGGCACUGAUCCUCAAGAAAAUCAUUCUCAGCUUCUAAAGUUAUAAUAAUUCUCAGCUAAAGGAAGCAUACUGAACACAAGCUGCCUCCACAUGCCAGAUGGGAGAUGGCCCUUGGACUGGAUAUCAGCCGAGAGGUGAGCACACCAGAUGCUGGAGCACUCCUGGGAAGAGAAACAGAAAGAGGAGGAGGAAGGGUGCCAAAAACAAUGUCUUAUUUGGCCAUUUUUCCCUUGACCCUAAUGCUAGAAAGGAAGGAGAGAGGGAAGCUUAAAUAAUUUAUAAAAUCCUGGUGAAUUGUCAAUUAAGUAAAUCCUUUUUAAAAUUUUGUUUUCUUUUAUCUUCUUUUGUUUCUUUUCUAUUAUUUAGUCCUUUAUUACCUGCACUACACAGAUGUAAAAGUAGGUAACUUUUGAAUUAAACUAUACAGUGUGUGAUCCACGGAAAACUUACAUCAUGCUACAUUCACCUGCAAGUUUUUGGCAAAUGUGAAUUUAUUAGUCAUUGAAAUAAGCCAGAAAAAAUGAAACAUACUGGUUUUGUCUUAAGCUUCCCUAGCCCUUCUCUCUCCUUGGUUCAAAUGAGUCACUGACCUGCUCUAGUACACAUCUUGGAAUCUUCGUAACUUCAUAACUUUAUCUUUUGUGAGUUCUUUCAUGCCUGGUUUGAAACUAAGGAAGUGGAAGCAGGGAAGAUAGAAGUGGAAAAUAAUGGAAUUGCUGGAAGAAAAGAAAACUAAGAGAAGAGUCACUUACCAGGAC